rnacentral:rRNA from 1 species
UACGGAGGAUGCAAGCGUUAUCCGGAUUUAUUGGGUUUAAAGGGUGCGUAGGCGGUUUUGCAAGUCAGCGGUGAAACGCAAGGGCUUAACCCUUGACCUGCCGUUGAAACUGCAGGACUUGAAUGCGGAUGCUGUGGGAGGAAUGUGUGGUGUAGCGGUGAAAUGCAUAGAUAUCACACAGAACACCGAUUGCGAAGGCAUCUCACAAAUCCGUGAUUGACGCUGAGGCACGAAAGUGUGGGGAUCAAAC